CACGCCGUAAACGAUGAAUGCCAGCCGUUGGGGGGUUUACCCUUCAGUGGCGCAGCUAACGCUUUAAGCAUUCCGCCUGGGGAGUACGGUCGCAAGAUUAAAACUCAAAGGAAUUGACGG
rnacentral:rRNA from 1 species